rnacentral:rRNA from 1 species
UCGAACGUGAAGCAGGAGCUUGCUCCUGUGGAAAGUGGCAGACGGGUGAGUAACGCGUGGGAAUUUACCCAGUGGUUCGGAAUAACUCCGGGAAACGGGAGCUAAUACCGGAUACGCCCUUCGGGGGAAAGAUUUAUCGCCAUUGGAUGAGCCCGCGUCGGAUUAGCUUGUUGGUGAGGUAAAAGCUCACCAAGGCGACGAUCCGUAGCUGGUCUGAGAGGAUGAUCAGCCACACUGGGACUGAGACACGGCCCAGACUCCUACGGGAGGCAGCAGUGGGGAAUAUUGCGCAAUGGGGGAAACCCUGACGCAGCCAUGCCGCGUGAGUGAAGAAGGCCUUAGGGUUGUAAAACUCUUUCACCGGUGAAGAUAAUGACGGUAGCCGGAGAAGAAGCCCCGGCCAACUCCGUGCCAGCAGCCGCGGUAAUACGGAGGGGGCUAGCGUUGUUCGGAUUUACUGGGCGUAAAGCGCGCGUAGGUGGAUACUUUAGUCGGAUGUGAAAGCCCUGGGCUUAACCUAGGAACUGCAUCCGAAACUGAGUAUCUAGAGUAUGGUAGAGGGAAGUGGAAUUUCCGGUGUAGCGGUGAAAUGCGUAGAUAUCGGAAGGAACA